rnacentral:sRNA from 1 species
AAGCUUUACUAAUGAUAAUAGGUUUUUUAGAUCAAUUAAUCCUAAAGCACUAUCAUGUCGUUGUAGUAUUUUAGGUUGUCAAUCCAAAUGGGUGUGAUGCUAACAAUCAAGAUGUGAUCAGAAGUCAUUAAGUCAAGCCAAGCAUUAACAGGUUUUGGUGUGUUCUAGCAGAAACAAUAAAACACUCGACCAACACAGCUCGUUGCAGAGCACUGGGUGUGGUCGAGUAACAGACAGUAAAUGAAACAAAGAUACUCGACUGCACAAUCUGUGAUCAAUCAAUCAAGAUGUGAUCAGAAGUCAUUAAGUCAAGCCAAGCAUUAACAGGUUUUGGUGUGUUCUAGCAGUCCUAAGUGAACAUGCAGAAAACAGAAAAUCAAGCAGAAACAAUAAAACACUCGACCAACACAGCUCGUUGCAGAGCACUGGGUGUGGUCGAGUAACAGACAGUAAAUGAAAUAAAGAUACUCGACUGCACAAUCUGUUGCCAGACAACUGGAUGGUCGAGUAUCAGGUCGAGUAACAAGAAAGAGUUGCAGAAACUAAACAACAGAUGACAAGAUGCAGUAAACAACAGUAAAGUAAACAAAGAAAUCAAUCAGAUAAAGAAUUCCAUAGGAUGGGAUAAUUGAGUAGUUUCGUUUCCUCAGUUUACAGGUGAUUGACAUGCUCAAUAAAUUAUCCCUAGACAACAAGUUCGGUAACCAAAUCUAAGUGCCACCUCAACAGAGACCCUGAAGUUAAACUAGUCCCAGACUCAAUCACCAUUGACGAGAGCUACCUAACAGGCAUUACGAAUCAACAAGUUAAAGCCAAAACGCUCCCUACAACCAAUACCUUGGUACAGGGCCACGAAUCUCUGGAAUUAGUGGUUCAGACAUUUCAUCGAACACCUUUUGGGCGCGAAAAUAUAUGGGCUCAAAUUCAAGUUGAUCAGAAAGCAAUAGGCAUUAAGAACAACUAAUCCAGAAGGGAUUUAUAAAUCAAACUCAACCACCUCGCAUACUGAGAAUUCUAAACUACUCUUACCCAUCCUCAGAAACUUAUUCACUACUCAGACAUCAUUGCAGAAAGCAUAAACGUUGAAUAGAAUGAAAACAUGAUAACAAAAGAGUAAUAGCAAGGUGAUAACAGGAUGAACAACAGUAAACGAAAUCAAGAACAAAAUACUGAAUACUGAAUAGAUUAAGAGAAAAAUCCGGAUUACAAAAGGUCAAGAACACAGUGUCUACAGAAUAAAACUUAGAUUUACGAAAAU